rnacentral:rRNA from 1 species
UGGGGAAUUUUGGACAAUGGGGGAAACCCUGAUCCAGCCAUCCCGCGUGUGCGAUGAAGGCCUUCGGGUUGUAAAGCACUUUUGGCAGGAAAGAAACGUCAUGGGUUAAUACCCCGUGAAACUGACGGUACCUGCAGAAUAAGCACCGGCUAACUACGUGCCAGCAGCCGCGGUAAUACGUAGGGUGCAAGCGUUAAUCGGAAUUACUGGGCGUAAAGCAUGCGCAGGCGGUUCGGAAAGAAAGAUGUGAAAUCCCAGAGCUCAACUUUGGAACUGCAUUUUUAACUACCGGGCUAGGGUGUGUCAGAGGGAGGUGGAAUUCCGCGUGUAGCAGUGAAAUGCGUAGAUAUGCGGAGGAACACCGAUGGCGAAGGCAGCCUCCUGGGAUAACACUGACGCUCAUGCACGAAAGCGUGGGGAGCAAACAGG